rnacentral:siRNA from 1 species
UGAGAUUCAGCCCUUUGUCGCU